GGCCGUCCGAGUUGUAAUCUGGAGAAGCGUUUUCAGUGCCGGCCCGCGUACAAGUCCCCUGGAACGGGGCGUCGCAGAGGGUGAGAAUCCCGUCUCCGACGCGGUCUCGCCGGCACGCUGCGAUGCGCUCUCGAAGAGUCGAGUUGUUUGGGAAUGCAGCUCAAAACGGGUGGUAAAUUCCAUCUAAAGCUAAAUACUGGCGAAAGACCGAUAGCGAACAAGUACCGUGAGGGAAAGAUGAAAAGCACUUUGGAAAGAGAGUCAAACAGUACGUGAAAUUGUUGRAAGGGAAACGCUCGAAGUCAGUCGCGUCUCUCGGGAUUCAGUCGUGCGAAGGCGCGACGUACUUCCCGGGUCUGGACGGGCCAGCGUCGAUUUCGGACCCGUCGUAGAAAGGCGUGAGGAACGUGGCACCUUUCGGGGUGUGUUAUAGCCUCGCGUUCGUAUGCGACGGUGGGGAUCGAGGCAUGCAGCGCGCCUCUUAACGGAUGGCCGGGGUUCGCCCACGUAACGCGCUUGGGAUGCUGGCUUAAUGGCUUCGAGCGACCCGUCUUGAAACACGGACCAAGGAGUCUAACAUGCUCGCGAGUGUUCGGGUGGAAAACCCGCGCGCGUAAUGAAAGUGAAAGGUUGGGACCCUCCUAGGAGGGGCACCGACGCCCGGACUUGAGCUUCUGCGACGGUUCCGAGGCGGAGCGCGUAUGUUGGGACCCGAAAGAUGGUGAACUAUGCCUGAGUAGGGYGAAGCCAGAGGAAACU
rnacentral:rRNA from 1 species